rnacentral:rRNA from 1 species
GAUGAACGCUGGCGGCGUGCUUAACACAUGCAAGUCGAACGGUGAAGCAGGAGCUUGCUCCUGUGGAUCAGUGGCGAACGGGUGAGUAACACGUGAGCAAUCUGCCCCGGACUCUGGAAUAAGCGUUGGAAACGACGUCUAAUACCGGAUACGAGGCGUGGGGGCAUCCCCAACGCCUGGAAAGAACUUCGGUCCAGGAUGAGCUCGCGGCCUAUCAGGUAGUUGGUGAGGUAACGGCUCACCAAGCCUACGACGGGUAGCCGGCCUGAGAGGGUGACCGGCCACACUGGGACUGAGACACGGCCCAGACUCCUACGGGAGGCAGCAGUGGGGAAUAUUGCACAAUGGGCGCAAGCCUGAUGCAGCAACGCCGCGUGAGGGACGACGGCCUUCGGGUUGUAAACCUCUUUUAGCAGGGAAGAAGCGAAAGUGACGGUACCUGCAGAAAAAGCACCGGCUGACUACGUGCCAGCAGCCGCGGUAACAC